GAUGAACGCUGGCGGCGUGCCUAAUACAUGCAAGUCGAGCGAACAGACGAGGAGCUUGCUCCUCUGACGUUAGCGGCGGACGGGUGAGUAACACGUGGAUAACCUACCUAUAAGACUGGGAUAACUUCGGGAAACCGGAGCUAAUACCGGAUAAUAUAUUGAACCGCAUGGUUGAAUAGUGAAAGACGGUUUUGCGGGCACUUAUCGAUGGAUCCGCGCCGCAUGAGCUAGUUGGUAAGGUAACGGGUUAUCAAGGCAACGAUGCGUAGCCGACGUGAGAGAGGGAUCGGCGACACUGGAACUGAGACACGGUCCAGAGUACUACGGGAGGCAGCAGUAGGGAAUCUUCCGCAAUGGGCGAAAGCCUGACGGAGCAACGCCGCGUGAGUGAUGAAGGUCUUGGGAUCGUAAAACUCUGUUAUUAGGGAAGAACAAAUGUGUAAGUAACUAUGCACGUCUUGACGGUACCUAAUCAGAAAGCCACGGCUAACUACGUG
rnacentral:rRNA from 1 species